rnacentral:rRNA from 1 species
GAUGAACGCUGGCUGCGUGCUUAACACAUGCAAGUCGAACGGAAAGGUCCUGCUUUUUUGCGGUGCCCGAUUGCCGAACGGGUGAGUAUCACUAGAGUAUCCCGCCCCUGCCCUUCGCAUAACGUUAGCAAACCGGGGCUCAUACCGGAACGGAGUGCUUGCCGUUUGGUGCGUCCUGGUUAGUUUCGGCGGUUGGGGAUGGGCUCGCGGGUUGUCAGCGUGUUGGCCGGGUAGUGGCUUACCAAGGCUUUGACGGGUAGCCGGCCUGAGAGGGUGACCGGCCACAUGGGGACUAAGAUACGGCGCAGACUCCUACGGGAGGCAGCGGUAGGGAGUAUUGCCCAAUGGGCGGAAGGCAGAUGCAGCAACGCCGCGUGCGGGAUGACUGCCUUCGGGUUAUGAGCCGAUUUCGCCUGUGACGAGGCGUGAGUGACGGUAAUGGGUAAAGAAGCACCGGCUAACUACGUG